AACGAACGCUGGCGGCAGGCUUAACACAUGCAAGUCGAACGGGUGUAGCAAUACAUCAGUGGCAGACGGGUGAGUAACACGUGGGAACCUUCCUAGGGGUACGGAACAACUCAGGGAAACUUGAGCUAAUACCGUAUACGUCCGUGAGGAGAAAGAUUUAUCGCCCUUAGACGGGCCCGCGUCGGAUUAGCUAGUUGGUGGGGUAACGGCCUACCAAGGCGACGAUCCGUAGCUGAUCUUAGAGGAUGAUCAGCCACACUGGGACUGAGACACGGCCCAGACUCCUACGGGAGGCAGCAGUGGGGAAUCUUGGACAAUGGGCGCAAGCCUGAUCCAGCCAUGCCGCGUGAGUGAAGAAGGUCUUCGGAUUGUAAAGCUCUUUUGCCAGGGACGAUAAUGACGGUACCUGGAGAAUAAGCCCCGGCAAACUUCGUGCCAGCAGCCGCGGUAAAGUCUGUACU
rnacentral:rRNA from 1 species